CAUGAAGCUGGAAUUGCUAGUAAUCACAGGUCAGCAUACUGUGGUGAAUACGUUCCCGGGCCUUGUACACACCGCCCGUCACACCAUGAGAGUUGAGAAUACCCGAAGCCCAUGUCAAAGUGGUCGAAGGUAGGCUUGAUGAUUGGGGUGAAGUCGUAACAAGGUAAC
rnacentral:rRNA from 1 species